UCUCAAGUUUACUGGAGGUAUAUUUGCUAAAACAUUUAAUGCACUGUUAGCAACAGUUUUAUAAGCUUUUGUUAUUGCUAAUAAAGGUUUUCUUUGAAUGGAUGUUAAUUUUUUAACAAUAAGUGUUACAUUUCUGUACCAUAUUGGGGCAGCAUAUGUUAUUAUCCGCUCUAUACCCCUUUUGUAACUACCUCUCAUU
rnacentral:lncRNA from 1 species